rnacentral:tRNA from 1 species
GCAUUGAUAGUGUAGGGGUAUCAUGAGUCGUUGCCACUCAUCGCUUGUACAAGGCGUGAUUACCGAUUCGACUCGACCGGGGUUCGAGUCCCCGUCAAUGCA